AUUGUCCUCAGCUCGACAACAAAACCUACUCCAACGUAUUUGUUUUUCGGUUUUUGUAACACGCCAAACCUUUUUACCUUUGCGAAAUUUGAAAGUAUCACAGCCAAAAAACAUUAUUUCGUUUGUGAUAUGAUCUCGUAUUUGUUGAAACGAGCUUGCAGAACCUGCAUGUGCACCAUACUAAUUAUAUGAUAGUGCUAUUGCACCAAACAAAAAUACAAUACCAGCUGCAAUCUAGUAAAACUUUGGAUUUUAUUUCGCAAUCAGGAUAAUGCGAUUUUUUAAAAUUACAAACUUCAAAAUGAAUUCUGCCAGAGGUUAACUGUGUCUGAUCCAUGUCCAUAGCAUGAUGGGGAAGUUAUUAAACCGGUAGGUGCACUGUAGUGAGUUUUAAAUAGCUUUCAUAACAAGCGAGUGCAUUUUAACAGUCUCAUUUCGGCAACAUCAAAACAAAGAGGAACACUUCCAUUAUUUAACGCUUCUAUUGUUCUUAUUUUACAAAACCCUUUACUUUCACUAAUUAGUUUGCUCCGUCCAAUAGUUUCGCCCGACUUCUAGUUUGAAGCUUUUGUCGAUAACAGUCACCUUAUUUUCCAACACUCUUAAUUAACAAAAUUUAUCACCUUCCUCGUUAUUAAUCGUCUUUAUGAUUUAUCCACUUUUGUUUAUUACGACAAGCUGACUCGCAAAUAUUUCAUUAAAUGGCAGUAUCAGCAUAAUAAAAAUUAACUCUUUUAUACUUGCUUCGCCUUUGAGCUUUCAUCUUUUUGUGAAUUAUUUGCCUUUCACGGUAAAAACAGUUUUGUUGAUAACAUAAACGUCCCUCGUUAUACCCAAAUUGUCAGCAAAUGAUGUUAAGAAAUAUCAGGAUUAUUAAUAUUGCGCCUACACUAGGUAACAAAAGACUGUCUCGUAAAUUAAUUGACAAGGGCUCUAUAUUAAAAGUUGCGAAAUUAAUUAAGGUAAAUGACACUUUUAACUCGAUAAUUGAUUACGUUCAUUUUGCUUAUUCGCACAUUUUGUAAUAUUGCCUGGCAAGAUUAAUUUAUUCCGAAACUGGGAACAUCUGUAUGUAUUAUACGCAACUCAUAUUUUAGCGCAAUAUUUGAGAGGAGCUAAGCCGAAAUUGCGGUACUCUUUUGAUAUCUAAUCACGGCUUCUCGUGAACGAAAGAAUUUAUUGCACAUUUGCUCAUAACGCAUUAUAAUUACUUAUUAAUAUUGAAUUCUGUCGUCAUUAAUCAGAUUUGCAAGUUUGCAUAAUGAGGUUUGGAAUGAGAGCGUAAGACUGGACAAUAAUGGAUCAAUAUUGCAUGUCCGUGGUGGACUUGGUAUAAAAUAAAGUGGAGUGAGAUUGAGAUAAAUUUCUUUUGUGAUGGGGAUGGUGCGGUUCUUUUUUUUUAAUUUGAGUAAGUGACCUUUGAGGAAGAAACGUGGAAUGUGCAGGAGUCUUGAGAUAAAAGCUUAAUAACGAUUUAGAUGUAUGAAGUGUCUUUGACGUAGUGGGAAAGCUCCCUUUGUGCAGUUGCGGUUGCAUAUGCACAAUCCUAAUUAUGUGCCUGUAGAAUGGAAUUUAGCUAAGCUCAUAAUGGGAAAGAAAUGGAGUUUUAAAGCGAAAAUAGGAGAACGUAUUUAGUAAACAGUAACAUAACGCAGAAUAAGUGCCGGAGGCUUAGCAUAUAUUGCAGCCGACUUUCCGGCAUGUAAGCUAAUAGUGUUGUAUAAUUGAUGUAUAAUUUGGGGCCCAGGUAAACUUUCCACAUAACUGUAGAUAUUCAUCGUUGAGAAUAAAUUAGUCUAGGGUGUGAAAUAGUUGGUUUGUAUUAAUUUUGACAAACAAUGCUAUUAAGUUUUCAGUGGAUAUCGACCCAUUUCCAUGGUUAUGGCUCAUGAUACUGAGCGGUUUUUGGUUAAUUAAUAAAACAUGCAAGUGCGCAAUCUAAAUUGACAACGUUAACCCUCGGCGGCGGCAAGAAGCGGCACCGAUUUUCUAAAUUGCGAACUUGUCGACAAUGGCGCGACUUAGCACUGAGUCAAAGGUGAUUUAUUGUUUAUUGUGUUUUUCUUUAGGCGCAGAAGUUUGUCCUUAAUAUUGAUUGGGACUAUUUUCCAUCACAUAUCGUUCACGGCUAAAAUCACCACUGAUCUCGGCCGAGUGGCCAACGUUUUACGCUUCACGGGUGGCCGCAUUGAAGACUCUAAAUGCGAUGCUUGCGUCGCUCCAACCCAUCACUUUAUAUUCUCAAUUUUAAACCCGCUAUUAAGGCACUAGAAAAACUGGCCACUUCAACAGGAAUUUCAAUGAAACACGGAUUCCGGACGACGACCUGCUCGGCACAAAAUUCCUUUUUGAUUUUAACACCAGAUACCGACAAGUCCUGCCCGAUUUUCCCUUUAAACAUUUUCCGUUUUAUUGCCUUCAGCCCAAAUCAUGGGAAACAUACACCCAACCACUCCAGACUUUUAUCGCACUUGCGUCUCCAGGACCUCGAUUAUUCCGAUGGUAAUUGAAAAAACUUCUACACAAAUAAUAGAAUUAAAACGAAGAUCCUGUUUCUCCACUUUUCCCUCUUGUUUUCUGACACUUAACUCUCAUCCAUUUAAUACCGCCACCUUUUCCUAAUUUCUUGAAUUUCUUGUCACGAGCUCACUACUUUGCUUCAUACAAAAUGAGCAAAAAUUUGCGGCUACUUUUUCAACAGGGUCGCUAGGUUAAUUAGAAUUUUAUUGAUUUUAGACUUUUAUUACAAAGCGACUUUAGAAAACGUUUAGACCUGACUAACAGUCUGUUCGGUUUUUUAUCACACUUCAAAUGUACGACGACGAGAAACAACACUACCCGAGUAUUUUUCUUUACAACUUGGGUCGAUCGAGAUCCAGACGUGUACUGCAGUUACGAUGCAAGAAGUCAAUGAACAAAUUAAACAUAGUUAAAUCCUUCAGUUUGAACAAAAGAUGUGGUUAGCAUAUUCCCGGGAAUUACAACCAACAAUGAGCUUAAUAAUAAAUUACGCCGAUGUAAAUACUCACAUAUUUAUGACUCUUACCGUGCGGGUUGUUUUCACAUAGACAUUUGGCAGCGUGGACCUUUAGAGAUUAUGUAGUAUUAGCGAUAAAAGCCUUUGCUAUUAACACAGACUUGGCAUCGGUUCAGAAUUAACAAAAGUUCCAAUAUGAAAAUAAUUUUUUAUUAUGUUCCAACGAACAUAUCGGGAACACCUACCCUCGCAUAAUCAUUAACUGAAAGAAAGUGCGUCCACGUGCUCGAGUGGCUUGAGAUAAGCUAUCUGUGUUGUUAUAAGGCUGACGUGUGAUGUUUUGUUGUUAAUGAUUUCAUUAGAAUUAGCUACGGGUGGAAGGAAUAGAAUUUAACACUCGUCCUUGAGCACAG